ensembl:lincRNA 6430710C18Rik RIKEN cDNA 6430710C18 gene
UGCUGUGGUUUGUCAGAGAUGAGAAGAAAUUGAACUUGACCUAAGGAACUCAAGGCCCUUCAUCAGCAGGAAGGACUCUAAAGAGCCUGGAGGCCUCCAGCUUGUAGCAGAGAAAGGGAAUCUCAGAGAAAUUGCAAACCCACCAACUCUGUGCCUUCUCUGGGCAUACAGACAAAAAGCUCAUAAGGAAUCUUGAUUACAUUCCUGGGGGAACUAAAAUGUGUGUUUGUACAUGUAAAGAGUACAUCGGAUGAGUGUGUUUAGUAAGAGGUGUGACAACAGGAGCCUUCCUAGGGCUUGCUUCUGCCACCCUGGCUCCAGAGUCCUUGAAAAGCUCUGUCUUAAGGGCAUAAGGAGAACGUGAUAGAGUGGGACAUGCGACAUCUUUUACUCCUGUCACCAAGACCUCCAUCCUCCAUGCAGCCUGGACCGGGGGCUCUUUGUAUAUCACUCAACUGAAUACUCUUACAUACAUGCUGUUAGGAGGACUCACCCCUGGUGAUCAUCAG